rnacentral:rRNA from 1 species
GAUCAUGGCUCAGGAUGAACGCUAGCUACAGGCUUAACACAUGCAAGUCGAGGGGAAACGAUAUUGGAAGCUUGCUUCCGAUAGGCGUCGACCGGCGCACGGGUGAGUAACGCGUAUCCAACCUGCCCACCACUUGGGGGAUAACCUUGCGAAAGUAAGACUAAUACCCAAUGAUAUCUCUAGAAGACAUCUGAAAGGGAUUAAAGAUUUAUCGGUGAUGGAUGGGGAUGCGUCUGAUUAG